rnacentral:rRNA from 2 species
CUUGCUACCUGACCUAGCGGCGGACGGGUGAGUAAUGCUUAGGAAUCUGCCUAUUAGUGGGGGACAACAUUCCGAAAGGAAUGCUAAUACCGCAUACGCCCUACGGGGGAAAGCAGGGGAUCUUCGGACCUUGCGCUAAUAGAUGAGCCUAAGUCAGAUUAGCUAGUUGGUGGGGUAAAGGCCUACCAAGGCGACGAUCUGUAGCGGGUCUGAGAGGAUGAUCCGCCACACUGGGACUGAGACACGGCCCAGACUCCUACGGGAGGCAGCAGUGGGGAAUAUUGGACAAUGGGCGAAAGCCUGAUCCAGCCAUGCCGCGUGUGUGAAGAAGGCCUUUUGGUUGUAAAGCACUUUAAGCGAGGAGGAGGCUACUUGGAUUAAUACUCUAGGAUAGUGGACGUUACUCGCAGAAUAAGCACCGGCUAACUCUGUGCCAGCAGCCGCGGUAAUACAGAGGGUGCGAGCGUUAAUCGGAUUUACUGGGCGUAAAGCGUGCGUAGGCGGCUUUUUAAGUCGGAUGUGAAAUCCCUGAGCUUAACUUAGGAAUUGCAUUCGAUACUGGGAAGCUAGAGUAUGGGAGAGGAUGGUAGAAUUCCAGGU